CUCAUCCCAGCCCCCAGUCCUUAACCUUUAACCGGCAGCUCCCCAUCACCCAGCUCUUCCUCUGCUUCCUACCCACAAGUCCUGCUUUUUCACAUUUUCCCUUCCCACCUCUGAGUACCUUUGUCUCACAACUCCGCACUAUCAGUUAAUGACAAAGUCCUUCUAGUGUGGGUGUGAUGGGAAGGAAAGAGAGAAGCACAUUCCUAAGCAGGGAGGCUGGGGCAGCUGCCCCCAACCCCUGCUCCAGGCUAUGUGGCGGAGAAGCCCAUCUGAGCAGAUCUGAGACAAUCGGUAUGGGUGCUCUCAGACGGACCAUCAGUGCCAUCAAGGAGAAGACACUGACUCAUCCAUUGGAAGAUGUGGUUCCUUCCAUGAAGUUUCCCUGUUGAUGUUUGGUACAAAAUAAGGAACUGGAAACAGGACUUUGGACAAGCUGGUUUUCAAAGUACUCAAGGAGCAGAGUCCACCUGUGGGCUGGCGGGGCCUGACCUUUGCCACCUGGAGGGGUUACAGGGAGAUGGGCCCUGGCACCAGGGUGUCCGAUGAAUACUUCCUGACUGACCACGUCUGCGAUGCAGACAGGCAAAGGGCAGAGGCAGCAGCAGGCAUCAGAGGCUACAGAGAGCGAUAGACGGAGGCUCAGAGAGGAGAAGUAACUGCCAGACCACCACACAGCUAGAGAGAGAUGGGGCAGGAUUUGAUCCAAAGGCUGAC
ensembl:lncRNA